UAGUCCCUACGAGGGGCAGCAGUAGGGAAUUUUCGUCAAUGGGCGCAAGCCUGAACGAGCAAUGCCGCGUGAACGAGGAAGGUCUUCGGAUCGUAAAGUUCUGUUGAAGGGGAAAAAGAGCGGAGAGAGGAAAUGAACUCCGAUUGAUAUUACCCUUCGAGGAAGUCACGGCUAACUACGUGCCAGCAGCCGCGGCAAUACGUAGGAGGCGAGCGUUAUCCGGAAUGAUUGGGCGUAAAGGGUGCGUAGGCGGCCUGCUAAGUCUGGAGUGAAAGGGAUCGGCUCAACCG
rnacentral:rRNA from 1 species